UCGAAAAUGAAAGAACAAAUAGCGUUAGCAAUUUUAGCUGGGAACAUUAUUGAGGAAUUGAUUUUUCAUAAUAGAUACAGUUGGUGUAGAAAAUAUAUCAAAACCAAUUCAAACAAAUCGACUAGUUGACUUGGAAAACUUUUACUACAAGUCUCGCAAUCAUUAUCGAAGUUUUUAUUUUUAUAACUGCAAACUUCAUUGUGGAAAAUCAUGGGCACUUCUAAGAUAAUUUGAAUGCACAUAAGUGGCUUUAUAGAAAUAGUUAUCAGCUCUAGUUAUAGUCUACCAAUUCGUUAUAUGGGAGGAGCUGUACCAAACUACUGGGGUUUUAUCGAUGGAACUAUUAGAGAAACUUGUUGACAAAGUAUCAUCACUAUGUAAAAUAUCAGUCUACUUUAUGUACUUGUUUGAAUGGAAGUCAAUCAAGUAUUUCUUUUCAUGUAAAACCACCAGUAUUGGAAGAUUAUUUUGUUUAACAGAAUUAUGUUAUGUAUUUUCCCACAAUUAUUUUGAAAUAAGUGUACUUAACGUAUAAUUUUAUAGUAACAUUAUUGAUAAUUAAUUAGGUUCUGCAUUGUGAUUUGCUUUUUUUAUGCUAUGUUGAUCCAAUAUAUAAAAAAGUACUUAGGUAA